CAGCGCCACGAGUGGCAACCGCGGUUAUUGGGCCUAAAGCGUCCGUAGCCGGUUCAGCAAAUCUUUUGUGAAAUUGUCAGGCUUAACUUGACGAAUUGCAGAAGACACUACUGAACUCGAGACCGGGAGGAGUCAGAAGUAUUCUAGGGGGACCGGUAAAAUGGUAUAAUCCCUAGAGGACUACCGAUGGCGAAGGCAUCUGACCAGAACGGAUCUGACGGUGAGGGACGAAAGCCAGGGGAGCGAACCGGAUUAGAUACCCGAGUAGUCC
rnacentral:rRNA from 1 species